AUGGCUUCUCAGGGGGUUCUGCUGCCUCUCAUACUGCUUUAUAUUCAGGGAUCCUGGGCAGAUAUUAUACUGACACAGACUCUGAAUGAGAUCACUGCAACUCCAGGACAGACAGUCACCAUCUCAAGUAAAUGCAGUUCUAGUGUUGACACCAGCAGGUUACACUGGUACCAGCAGAAAUCAGGACAACGUCCAACACUGAUUAUCUAUGGUACAAGCAAUCUUCAGUCUGGAGCCCCAACCAGGUUCAGUGGAUCUGGAUCUGGAACAGAUUUCACUCUUAAAAUCAGCGACAUAAAGGAAGAAGAUAUUGCAGUUUAUUACUGUCAGCAGGUUCAGAGCCUCCCUUUCACACAGUGA